GACGAACGCUGGCGGCGUGCUUAACACAUGCAAGUCGAACGGAAAGGCCCUGCUUUUGUGGUGUGCUCGAGUGGCGAACGGGUGAGUAACACGUGAGUAACCUGCCCUUGACUUUGGGAUAACUUCAGGAAACUGGGGCUAAUACCGUAUAGGAGCUCCUGCUGCAUGGUGGGGGUUGGAAAGUUUCGGCGGUUGGGGAUGGACUCGCGGCUUAUCAGCUUGUUGGUGGGGUAGUGGCUUACCAAGGCUUUGACGGGUAGCCGGCCUGAGAGGGUGACCGGCCACAUUGGGACUGAGAUACGGCGCAGACGCCUACGGGAGGCAGCAGUGGGGAAUAUUGCACAAUGGGCGGAAGCCUGAUGCAGCAACGCCGCGUGCGGGAUGACGGCCUGCGGGUUGUAAACCGCUUUAGCCUGUGACGAAGCGUGAGUGACGGUAAUGGGUAAAGAAGCACCGGCUAACUACGUG
rnacentral:rRNA from 1 species